AACGUAGGUUCCGAGCGUUAUCCGGAUUUACUGGGCGUAAAGCGCGUUCAGGCGGCUUGGCAAGUCGGGCAUGAAAUCUCUCGGCUCAACCGGGAGAGGUUGUCCGAUACUUCCAGACUUGAGGGCAGUAGAGGGUGGUGGAAUUCCGGGUGUAGUGGUGAAAUGCGUAGAUAUCCGGAGGAACACCAGUGGCGAAAGCGGCCACCUGGACUGCACCUGACGCUGACACGCGAAAGCUAGGGGAGCGAACGGG
rnacentral:rRNA from 1 species